rnacentral:lncRNA from 1 species
AAUUUUAAGGCCCAAACUCAGUCUUCAGUUUUCACGGUUCACAGUACCUUCCGGGAAGCUACAAUGCUAAAUUGACCAGACUGGACUUUUCCGACGACUACUAUUUUUCAACAUUUCCAGCCGGCGGCUAGUACAAGUCAUCCUCUCUGACCCCGAUCCCGACUCUCUGACUCGUUACGCCACUACGCGAUUUAAAAUUGAAUUGAACCACUCCCCCACUACGACCUUUCAAAUCGAACCACUCUAUAAAUAAGCAACGACCCCAUAUCCACCUUUUGCAUAUCUCAGAUUUCAUUUCCAAUCAUAACAAUGGAUUCCUCACCGUCGCCGUUAAGCCGACAAGCCGUCACCAUCAAGUCUCCCUUCCACCAAACGAGGAGAAGAAGCAUUAAGGUCUGGAAGAUGAAGAUCA